rnacentral:rRNA from 1 species
CCUACGGGAGGCAGCAGUGGGGGAUAUUGCACAAUGGGGGGAACCCUGAUGCAGCGACGCCGCGUGGGUGAAGAAGGGCUUCGGCGCGUAAAGCCCUGUCAGCAGGGAAGAAAAUGACGGUAUCUGAAGAAGAAGCCCCGGCUAACUACGUGCCAGCAGCCGCGGUAAUACGGAGGGGGCAAGCGUUAGCCGGAUUUACUGGGGGUAAAGGGGGCGCAGGCGGGGCAGCAAGCCAGGAGUGAAAGCCCGGGGCCCAACCCCGGGACUGCAUUUGAAACUGCGUGGCUGGAGUGCAGGAGGGGCAGGCGGAAUUCCUGGUGUAGCGGUGAAAUGCGUAGAUAUCAGGAGGAACACCGGUGGCGAAGGCGGCCUGCUGGACUGCAACUGACGUUGAGGCCCGAAAGCGUGGGGAGCAAACAGGAUUAGAUACCCCUGUAGUC